UACGUAGGGUGCAAGCGUUGUCCGGAAUUAUUGGGCGUAAAGAGCUCGUAGGCGGUCUGUCGCGUCGGCUGUGAAAUCCCCCGGCUCAACCGGGGAACGGGCGCGGAUACGACCUUCCUUGAGGGGCGUAGGGGGACCUGGGAACUUCCGGUGGAGCGGUGAAAUGCGUUGAGAUCGGAAGGAACGCCCGUGGCGAAAGCGAGGUCCUGGACGCCUACUGACGCUGAGACGCGAAAGCCAGGGGAGCGAACGGG
rnacentral:rRNA from 1 species